CGGGGUGAGUAAUGUCUGGGAAACUGCCUGAUGGAGGGGGAUAACUGCUGGAAACGGUAGCUAAUACCGCAUAACGUCGCAAGACCAAAGAGGGGGACCUUCGGGCCUCUUGCCAUCGGAUGUGCCCAGAUGGGAUUAGCUAGUAGGUGGGGUAACGGCUCACCUAGGCGACGAUCCCUAGCUGGUCUGAGAGAAUGACCAGCCACACUGGAACUGAGACACGGUCCAG
rnacentral:rRNA from 1 species